UGAGUAACGGCGAGCGAAAGGGAGAGCCCAGCGCCGAAGCCCGCCCUCGAGAGGGGGUGUGGCAAUGUGGCGUUUAGGAGUGAGCGUGCCGGCGGUCGACUCUGCAGCAAGUCCCCCUGACCGGGGCUGUAACCCAAAGUGGGUGCGAGGCCCAUAGCUGCUAGGUCUCCGUCGGAUGCGAUCUCCUUGGAGUCGGGUUGCUUGGGAGUGCAGCCCUAAUCGGGUGGUAAACUCCACCUAAGGCUAAAUACGGCCGUGAGACCGAUAGCAAACAAGUACCGUGAGGGAAAGUUGCAAAGAACUUUGAAGAGAGAGUUCAAGAGUACGUGAAACUGCUCAGAGGCAAACGGGUGGGCCCUCGAAAUCCUGUGGCGGGAGGAUUCAGUUUUGAGGGGUGGACGCCUGGUUGGAAAUUCAUUGGAUCCGCGGAGGCGGCCGUUCCGACUUGGSGACUUCGCCCUUUAGAACGCAUUUGUUUCCCGUCCSAAGGACCCCGCAACCGGUUGCGAGACGGCCUUAAGGRCUUCCGACGGCAGUUGGCCGAUGGUUCGUCUCGUGCGUCCCGUCGGCCGUUAGCCAGGGUGUCGCACGCCUCGUAGCGCGACCGGGGUGUCGCGAGGCCCUUUUCGGUUUUUUC
rnacentral:rRNA from 1 species